rnacentral:lncRNA from 1 species
GAACACGAAACAAGUUGAAUACAUUCGGGUCUCAGUCUUGUUCGGGUAAUAAUUAUAAAAUAAGAAAACAAACACGUUUACCCGAACCCAAACCUUCUUCACCCGAACACAAUUGACCCUCCCGACGACUGCGCCUUCUCCGGUCGUCGACUCCGCCGCCGCCGCCGCCGCCGCCGCCGCCGCCGCCGCCGACGACGACUGCGCAUUCUCGUCGACUCCGCCGCCGCCUUCUCCUUGCAUUCUAGGGUUUCGCAGAGCAAGGCACUUGCUCUGCAGCAGGAGGAGGAGGAGGCGGCCCUUCUCCUUGGUCGAUUCGGAGAACAACUUCCUUACUCGAUCCGAAGCUGCAACACCUUUGUC